CUGUCGAAAAAAAAUUACUUAAGUUAGAGCAGCGUAGCUAAUAAGAAUUCGUACUCUUAAUAAGAAUUCCAUGCGUUAGAGCGAGCAAGUGAAGGUCAGGCGAAAUUUGACAGCGAAUUUGAAGUUUGAUCAUAGUAGGCUGCGAAGAAAAGCGUCACUUUUGUGGAAAUUUUUGGAGCUUGGACACACACAGCACUUUUGGAGCACUUUUGGAGAAUCUUGACGCCAUCAGAACUUUCAACCCAUCAGCACCUUCCACGGCACCAAUAGUUUAAUAUUCAGCUACCAACAUUGUUCGGUGAGUUUUAUUCUUUAAAUAUAUAUUAAGAAACACGGUUGUUCAGCCGCGAAUAAAUAUGUACCUACUUGUGGUCAUAUCGUCGGUGAUACUGCAAAACUUUCCUAAUGACGAAAAUAUCUUCCUUUGGCUGAUGUCGAUGAACGUUUUGCAGUAUCACUGACGA